rnacentral:misc_RNA from 1 species
UACGUAGGUCCCGAGCGUUAUCCGGAAUUAUUGGGCGUAAAGAGCAUGUAGGCGGCUUUGAAAGUUUGGUGUUAAAACUGGUGGCUCAACCAUACAGGAGCACUGAAAACUAUGAAGCUAGAAUACUGGAGAGGCAAGUGGAAUUCCAUGUGUAGCGGUGGAAUGCGUAGAUAUAUGGAGGAACACCAAUGGCGAAGGCAGCUUGCUGGAAAGAGAUUGACGCUGAGAUGCGAAAGCGUGGGUAGCAAACAGG